AGGUCAGAUCGGAGACUGGAAGAACCAUUUUACGGUGGCUGAGAGCGAAGCUUACGAUCAAAUCUACCGCGAGAAGAUAGAAGGGUCGGGCUUGGAGUUCGUGUUUGAAUAGAAGUUAGGAAGGAACCGGGUGGUUUUCGUGUAGGCAAGUUCGGAAGGCUGUAAGGGUCAGUUUUGAACUUGACAAUCAGCCAACCACGCACAUGACAGACGACUGUGACGUCAUUAGAUGUAUUGCGGGAAAAAAUAUCUGGAAUUAUAUUAUAUUUAAAAAUAAGUAAACAAAUAAAUACAUACGUAACUAAUUAAAUAAUUAACUAAAUUAAAAAAGUAUACUUUUUUACAUAAUAAUAAUUUUAUUAUAUUGUUGGCAAAUCACAUAUUAGAUUGUUUACACGGGACACGACACAGUAAUACUGCGGAGCACUUUACGAACAGUGUUCUGGUCGCUGCGACGCGUUUACUAUAAUUGUACUAUAAUUUGCACGCUAGUUGGUUGUUACCAAGACCUAAUAAUAUAUGUAUUAAUUAUUAAGUAUUGAUGUUAGGGAGAGCUGGUGAUUCAUUGCUCACGUGUGAUGCACUGUGCCGUUGUUACUGUCACAUAUUGUAGAAGUUGCAAUAAACGUAUAUUAAUAUCACCGUCAGUGUUGGUUUGACGGUUGUUUUAAUUUAAUAUCGAUAAAUUUAGAAGGUACAAGUAUUGGAGAAGAUCGGAAUCACUACGACUAUAUCUAAUUCUCCCUUUCUAAUAUCUAAUAUCCAUUAUUGCCGAAAAUUGCUCUGUGUCUGGAUGUUUCUCUCUAUUAUUUGUACAUGUGCGUGAGCAUGUGUGUGUAUCAGUGCGAGAAAAGACUGCGCGCACAUGUAGCCAUUAAUAGCGGGGGAAGUGUACCUUCUCUGUACCACAUAUAAUAUUCUGUGCGUAGGAAGAUAUACGUAAUUCAUAUGGCAUCCUAUGCUUCCGAUAAGUGUUCAGAUGUGCGUAUGGGCGAGGGACAGGUAGCCAGUGAAAACCGCACAAUAGUAUCUCGGGAACAUACAGACGCCUUAUGAGAGUAUAGUCUAGAUUAGAAUCCAUGCAAUAAAAGCAGAACAUAUAUUGAAUUCA